rnacentral:misc_RNA from 1 species
UCCGGCUUGUCACCGGCAGUUUCUUCAGAGUGCCCGGCUCUACCCGAUGGCAACUGAAGAUGAGGGUUGCGCUCGUUGCGGGACUUAACCCAACCUCUCACGACACGAGCUGACGACAGCCAUGCAGCACCUGUGUGUAGGCCCCGUAAGGGGAGGAAUCCAUCUCUGGAAACCGUCCUACCAUGUCAAACGCUGGUAAGGUUCUGCGCGUUGCGUCGAAUUAAACCACAUGCUCCACCGCUUGUGCGGGCCCCCGUCAAUUCCUUUGAGUUUUAAUCUUGCGACCGUACUCCCCAGGCGGGAUGCUUAAUGCGUUAGCUGCGCCACUGAAGGGUAAACCCACCAACGGCUAGCAUCCAUCGUUUACGGCGUGGACUAC